rnacentral:rRNA from 1 species
CAUGCAAGUCGAGCGGUAACAGACAUUUUGAUUUUGCUUGCAAAAUCUCGUGCUGACGAGCGGCGAACGGGUGAGUAACGCGUAGGAAUCUACCUAGUAGAAGGGGAUAGCCCGAGGAAACUCGGAUUAAUACCGUAUACGUCCUUAGGGAGAAAGAGGGCUUAGCUUUGAUGCUCUCGCUAUUAGAUGAGCCUGCGUAAGAUUAGCUUGUUGGUGAGGUAAAGGCUCACCAAGGCGACGAUCUUUAGCUGGUCUGAGAGGACGAUCAGCCACAUUGGGACUGAGACACGGCCCAGACUCCUACGGGAGGCAGCAGUGGGGAAUAUUGGACAAUGGGCGCAAGCCUGAUCCAGCCAUACCGCGUGUGUGAAGAAGGCCUUCGGGUUGUAAAGCACUUUAAGUAAGGAAGAAAGAGUAUUGUUAAUACCAAUACUCCGUGACAUUACUUACAGAAUAAGGACCGGCUAAUUCCGUGCCAGCAGCCGCGGUAAUACGGAAGGUCCAACCGUUAAUCGGAAUUACUGGGCCGUAAAGCGCGCGUAGGUGGUUUAUUAAGUUGGGUGUGAAAGCCCCGGGCUCAACCUGGGAACUGCAUCCAAA